AGAGUUUGAUCCUGGCUCAGGACGAACGCUGGCGGCGCGCCUAACACAUGCAAGUCGAACGGAGCUUAGAGAGCUUGCUUUUUAAGCUUAGUGGCGAACGGGUGAGUAACGCGUGAGUAACCUGCCCUAGAGUGGGGGACAACAGUUGGAAACGACUGCUAAUACCGCAUAAGCCCACGGUACCGCAUGGUACUGAGGGAAAAGGAUUUAUUCGCUUUAGGAUGGACUCGCGUCCAAUUAGCUAGUUGGUGAGGUAACGGCCCACCAAGGCGACGAUUGGUAGCCGGACUGAGAGGUUGAACGGCCACAUUGGGACUGAGACACGGCCCAGACUCCUACGGGAGGCAGCAGUGGGGGAUAUUGCACAAUGGGGGAAACCCUGAUGCAGCGACGCCGCGUGGAGGAAGAAGGUUUUCGGAUUGUAAACUCCUGUCGUUAGGGACGAUAAUGACGGUACCUAACAAGAAAGCACCGGCUAACUACGUGCCAGCAGCCGCGGUAAAACGUAGGGUGCAAGCGUUGUCCGGAAUUACUGGGUGUAAAGGGAGCGCAGGCGGGAAGACAAGUUGGAAGUGAAAACCAUGGGCUCAACCCAUGAAUUGCUUUCAAAACUGUUUUUCUUGAGUAGUGCAGAGGUAGAUGGAAUUCCCGGUGUAGCGGUGGAAUGCGUAGAUAUCGGGAGGAACACCAGUGGCGAAGGCGGUCUACUGGGCACCAACUGACGCUGAGGCUCGAAAGCAUGGGUAGCAAACAGGAUUAGAUACCCUGGUAGUCCAUGCCGUAAACGAUGAUUACUAGGUGUUGGGGGAUUGACCCCCUCAGUGCCGCAGUUAACACAAUAAGUAAUCCACCUGGGGAGUACGACCGCAAGGUUGAAACUCAAAGGAAUUGACGGGGGCCCGCACAAGCAGUGGAGUAUGUGGUUUAAUUCGAAGCAACGCGAAGAACCUUACCAGGUCUUGACAUCCGAUGCAUAGCACAGAGAUGUGUGAAAUCCUUCGGGACAUCGAGACAGGUGGUGCAUGGUUGUCGUCAGCUCGUGUCGUGAGAUGUUGGGUUAAGU
rnacentral:rRNA from 1 species